ensembl:lncRNA
GUGAACAUGAGUGUUCAUGCCCUGUACACUAAAUAAGUGCCCAAGAGGAACAAGUUCAACCAGCAAGGGGAUGGUUGUAAGACUAAGGGGCUGCCUUGGACCACAAUCAUUCCGGGAAAAGACAUCAGGCUACAACAAAGGAGGGAGUGCUCAGAUUCAACCAAUAAUUCUUCAAGGCUGCAAAGGCAUUCGUGGUGAAAUCCAUCAAGGAGGAAAAGAUCCUCCUGGCAGCGUAUUAGUGAUGAGUGACUACCAUAGCUAGGAGGGCAUAGUUGAGCUGAGGUGAUUCUCGUCUACCGACUCCCGUCCUCUCACUUCAAAAAGAUGACCUGACAGAGAGAAGUGAUGACAACAAGUGCAGACUCUAACUUGACAGUGUAUUUCAAAUUUUGAGCAAAUUCCAUCUGGGAGGGAAGCUGACUGCUGCCUGGGCAAAGGAAAACAAUGGGAAAAUGUAAAUAAAAAGUACAAGGUGAUGGGCUGCACUUGUCUGUGUGAAGAUUCUGGGGUGCUGUUUUUUGAGCGCAAGAACUAGAAUAAAUUGAACUGACACCUUCCAUAAUUCUACAUGAGACACUCAUCUGUUCUACAUGAUGCAGCAUUGUGCCCACACUAAACACAACUCAGGGCUCUUUCUCAACCUUUUUAUCCCUGUUUUUUUCACGGUCCUUCUCAUCCAAUAGGUUUAAGAAAUGCUAUCAAUGUGCAUAAUAUCUAACACGUGUGGCAAGGGUAGGGAAA